rnacentral:rRNA from 1 species
UACGUAGGGUGCGAGCGUUGUCCGGAAUUAUUGGGCGUAAAGAGCUCGUAGGCGGUCUGUCGCGUCUGCUGUGAAAUCCCGAGGCUCAACCUCGGGCUUGCAGUGGGUACGGGCAGGCUAGAGUGCGGUAGGGGGAGAAUGGAACUCCUGGUGUAGCGGUGGAAUGCGCAGAUAUCAGGAAGAACACCGAUGGCGAAGGCAGUUCUCUGGGGCCGUAACUGACGCUGAGGAGCGAAAAGCGUGGGGGAGCGAACAGG